rnacentral:rRNA from 1 species
GAUGAACGCUGGCGGCGUGCCUAAUACAUGCAAGUCGAGCGAACGGACGAGAAGCUUGCUUCUCUGAUGUUAGCGGCGGACGGGUGAGUAACACGUGGAUAACCUACCUAUAAGACUGGGAUAACUUCGGGAAACCGGAGCUAAUACCGGAUAAUAUUUUGAACCGCAUGGUUCAAAAGUGAAAGACGGUCUUGCUGUCACUUAUAGAUGGAUCCGCCCUUCAUUAGCUAGUUGGUAAGGUAACGGCUUACCAAGGCAACGAUGCAUAGCCGACCUGAGAGGGUGAUCGGCCACACUGGAACUGAGACACGGUCCAGACUCCUACGGGAGGCAGCAGUAGGGAAUCUUCCGCAAUGGGCGAAAGCCUGACGGAGCAACGCCGCGUGAGUGAUGAAGGUCUUCGGAUCGUAAAACUCUGUUAUUAGGGAAGAACAUAUGUGUAAGUAACUGUGCACAUCUUGACGGUACCUAAUCAGAAAGCCACGGCUAACUACGUG